rnacentral:rRNA from 1 species
CCUACGGGAGGCAGCAGUGGGGAAUAUUGGGCAAUGGGCGCAAGCCUGACCCAGCAACGCCGCGUGAAGGAAGAAGGCUCUCGGGUUUUAAACCUCUUUUUUUAGGGACGAAGAAAGUGACGGUAGCUGAGGUAUAAGCCACGGCUAACUACGGGCCAGCAGUCGCGGGAAUACGGAGGUGGCAAGCGUUAUCCGGAUGUAUUGGGUGUAAAGGGCGUGUAGGCGGGAGGGCAAGUCAGAUGUGAAAACUCAGGGCUCAACCCUGAGCCUGCAUUUGAAACUGUGUUUCUUGAGUGCUGGAGAGGCAAUCGGAAUUCGGGGUGUAGCGGUGAAAUGCGUAGAUAUACGGAGGAACACCAGUGGCGAAGGCAGAUUGCUGGACAGUAACUGACGCUGAGGCGCGAAAGCGUGGGGAGCAAACAGGAUUAGAUACCCCUGUAGUC